rnacentral:rRNA from 1 species
CGGCUAACUACGUGCCAGCAGCCGCGGUAAUACGUAGGUGGCAAGCGUUGUCCGGAGUUUAUUGGGCGUAAAGCGAGCGCAGGCGGUUUUAAGUUCUGAUGUGAAAGCCUUCGGCUCAACCGAAGAAGUAGCAUCGGAAACUAGGGAAACGUUAGAGUGCAGAAGAGGACAGUGGAACUCCAUGUGUAGCGGUGAAAUAGUGUAGAUAUAUGGAAGAACACCAGUGGCGAAGGCGGCUGUCUGGUCUGUAACUGACGCUGAGGCUCGAAAGUAUGGGUAGCAAACAGGAUUAGAUACCCUGGUAG